GGCUGAUCUGAGGCAGUGAUGUUUACAACUGAUUGAUCAUAACCAGUUACAGAUUCCUUUGUUCCUUCUCCACUCCCACUGCUUCACUUGACUAGCCUUAA
rnacentral:Y_RNA from 1 species